UACGGAGGGUGCAAGCGUUAUCCGGAUUCACUGGGUUUAAAGGGUGCGUAGGUGGGGAGGUAAGUCAGCGGUGAAAUCCCCGAGCUUAACUUGGGAACUGCCAUUGAUACUAUCUCUCUUGAAUAUCUUGGAGGUGAGCGGAAUAUGUCAUGUAGCGGUGAAAUGCUUAGAUAGGACAUAGAACACCAAUUGCGAAGGCAGCUCACUACACGGUAAUUGACACUGAGGCACGAAAGCGUGGGGAUCAAACAGG
rnacentral:rRNA from 1 species